CGAACGCUGGCGGCAUGCCUAACACAUGCACGUCGAACGAGACCUUCGGGUCUAGUGGCGCACGGGUGCGUAACGCGUGGGAACCUGCCCUUAGGUUCGGAAUAACUCCCCGAAAGGGGUGCUAAUACCGGAUAAUGUCUUCGGACCAAAGAUUUAUCGCCUUUGGAUGGGCCCGCGUUGGAUUAGCUAGUUGGUAGGGUAAAAGCCUACCAAGGCGACGAUCCAUAGCUGGUCUGAGAGGAUGAUCAGCCACACUGGGACUGAGACACGGCCCAGACUCCUACGGGAGGCAGCAGUGGGGAAUAUUGGACAAUGGGCGAAAGCCUGAUCCAGCAAUGCCGCGUGAGUGAUGAAGGCCUUAGGGUUGUAAAGCUCUUUUACCCGGGAUGAUAAUGGCAGUACCGGGAGAAUAAGCUCCGGCUAACUCCGUG
rnacentral:rRNA from 1 species